CCUACGGGAGGCAGCAGUAGGGAAUAUUGCUCAAUGGGGGAAACCCUGAAGCAGCAACGCCGCGUGGAGGAUGAAGGUUUUCGGAUUGUAAACUCCUUUUGUUAGAGAAGAUAAUGACGGUAUCUAACGAAUAAGCACCGGCUAACUCCGUGCCAGCAGCCGCGGUAAUACGGAGGGUGCAAGCGUUACUCGGAAUCACUGGGCGUAAAGAGCGCGUAGGCGGGAUAGCAAGUCAGAUGUGAAAUCCUAUGGCUUAACCAUAGAACUGCAUUUGAAACUGUUAUUCUAGAGUAUGGGAGAGGUAGGUGGAAUUCUUGGUGUAGGGGUGAAAUGCGUAGAGAUCAAGAGGAAUACUCAUUGCGAAGGCGACCUGCUAGAACAUAACUGACGCUGAUGCGCGAAAGCGUGGGGAGCAAACAGGAUUAGAUACCCCGGUAGUC
rnacentral:rRNA from 1 species